rnacentral:misc_RNA from 1 species
UGGAGGCGCUGACGCUGAGCGCCGCCUCGCGCUCCUGCAGCACGUGGGUCGCGGUUGGAGGGUCACAAUUGCCGUCGCCACAGAGGUCUCAUCCGGUCCAACCGCCUCAUAGACCUCUGCCCAGCGACAAUAAGAAGGUCCGUCAGAACUACAUCAAGCGUCGCCUGCUGACCACGUAUCGCGCGCUGGAGAGGAUGUCGCAGUCCGAGUUCAAUCUGGACAAACUUGAGGCCGUAGCAUCAGUGCCCGUGAGUUCAGGUCCGGGACCCACCACACUCGCUGUACCCGCCAAGAACACUAAAUAUGUACACCCAGAAGCUGCCAACCUGGCUCUGACGGCUGCUGACCUGGAACGUGAGCGCGGGCGCCCUCUGUCGAAGUACGAGCGCAACAUGAUAAUCUUCAACUGGCUUCACACCCUCGACGAGGCAGCUCCCUUCUAGCUCCCCUCCAUACUUUUCCACCCGGUCUGUGACGUCGUGACGCGUUCUGGCCACACUAUAAUAAUACGACGCGUUCUGGCAAAUUGUUAUAACAUUAUGACGCGUUUUAGUUGCAGAUUAUAAAAUUAUGACGCAUUUUAAUCACAUAUUAUAGUAAUAUGACACGUUCUGUAUAUGUUAUUAAGUUAGAUCAGGUCAAGAUUAUAAAGCUAUGAAAAGUCGUAGCCAUAGAUUAUAAAUUAUAACGCGUACUGGAUAUAUGUUAUAAUGUUAUGACGCGUUAUAAAUAAUAAUAUAAACUAACUUUAUGACGCAUUUUACACAGAAAUUAUAACACCAAUAUUUAACUCAAAUAUUAUAAUAUUAUGACGCGUUCCGGCCACGUUCUGUAAUAAUUCUUCUAACCACGUUUUAUAAUGUCGACGUAUUUUAAUAUUAUUUGACGCUUCUAUAUAAAUAAUGUUCGUGUCUGACGAUACGCUACACAAUAUUUAUAUAUGGAACAGAGUACGUAUAACAGUGUAUAUAAUUAUUAAUUUUUGUUUUCGUUGUAUGUGUGUUUCACUCAUAGUUCUGUUGUUCUGACGCGUUACAGAUAAAUAAACCAUACAUAAAUGAUAUAAAUAAUCAAAAAUGUGUUUUUAGUUAAUAUAAUUUUAUGUAAAUUAUACUUGCUUGUAAUUAUAUAACGCGUGAUCUCAAUGUUAAUAAUAUAUAAUGAUAUUAUGUAUAGUAAAUAGAAUUAAUGAUAUUCGAAAUGACAUUUUUCACACCUGACCUCCCAUUGCUCAAUGUUUUUGUCAUUUUUCAGGUUUAUUCAGUUUUAAUUUUGUUUUCCGCCUGUUCAAUGUGUAAUGUUUACCUCAGGCUAUAAAACAGCGUAUUACGUCUCAUAACAGCUAAAGCAGUAACCGAAUAUGACAGAACAUUUCAUUAACUUUAAUAAUAAAAGACAGAAUUAGACCAACUAUAUAAUAUUUUAUUAUGUUAGAAAACAAUUGAUAUUUGCGAAGUUUUUAAUUUUAGUAAUUUAAUCUUAGUUAGUGCUCCUGGGGUCAUUGUCACCCCAAUGGAAUCUCAACCCAUGAAUCUCAACA